UUUUUGGUGUGAGGUGGGCUGGUGGCGCAGAGCUCUCAUAGUAAUAUGAGAUAGGAAAAUCUCGCUAUAUGCUGGAAAAUUUUAUUUCGGCCGCUGGUAAAAUGCCCGAAGAAUUCGGGACACGGAAUAAAACAAUCAGCAGGAAACCUUGUCUAAAAAACAGGGGCUCCUCAGAGACUACACGCGAGACUCCCGAGGUAAAAUCGGGAUGAUGAUAUAGUCCAAGUUCCAAACCAAAAAUUGGUG
rfam:Candidatus Buchananbacteria bacterium RIFCSPLOWO2_01_FTLL_40_23b rifcsplowo2_01_scaffold_3007, whole genome shotgun sequence.